CGGGAUAUAGUAUAAUGGUAGUACGCACGCUUCGGGUGCGUGUAGUCCCAGUUCAAAUCUGGGUAUCCCGA
rnacentral:tRNA from 1 species